GGUGGGAUACCCAAGUGGCUAACGGGAGCAGACUGUAAAUCUGUCGUCAUAGACUUCGAAGGUUCGAAUCCUUCUCCCACCA
rnacentral:tRNA from 1 species